GACGAACGCUGGCGGCGUGCUUAACACAUGCAAGUCGAGCGGAAUAAUAUAUCAGCUUGCUGAUAUAUUAUUUAGCGGCGGACGGGUGAGUAACACGUGGGUAACCUGCCCUAUACAGGGGGAUAGCCAACCGAAAGGUUGAUUAAUACCGCAUAAAUCAGACUUAUCGCAUGAUAAGUCUGGCAAAGGAGUUCGAACUCGUAAGAGUUCGUAUCCGGUAUAGGAGGGACCCGCGGCCCAUUAGAUAGUUGGUGAGGUAACGGCCCACCAAGUCGACGAUGGGUAGCCGAUCUGAGAGGAUGACCGGCCACAUUGGAACUGAGACACGGUCCAGACUCCUACGGGAGGCAGCAGUGGGGAAUAUUGCGCAAUGGGGGAAACCCUGACGCAGCAACGCCGCGUGAGUGAUGAAGGCCUUCGGGUCGUAAAGCUCUGUCUUUGGGGACGAUAAUGACGGUACCCAAGGAGGAAGCCACGGCUAACUACGUGCCAGCAGCCGCGGUAAUACGUAGGUGGCAAGCGUUGUCCGGAAUUACUGGGCGUAAAGGGUGCGUAGGCGGAUAUUUAAGUCAGAUGUGAAAUUCCGGAGCUUAACUUCGGAACUGCAUUUGAAACUGGACAUCUAGAGUACAGGAGAGGAAAGCGGAAUUCCUAGUGUAGCGGUGAAAUGCGUAGAUAUUAGGAAGAA
rnacentral:rRNA from 2 species